rnacentral:misc_RNA from 1 species
GCAGUUGCUUGCGAUAUGUUUUGCUCGGCACUCAGCCCAUCUCAUUUAUGUAUAGGACUAAAGCGACAUGAACCCCAUCGGACGAAUCGAUAACUUUGGCCGGCUGUCAGUACCGAAUAGAGAAGGAACGCGUGUACAUAUACAUUAUUGGAGACAGAACUGAUGUAUGGAAAAAGGGGGGUGGGACAACCAACCAAGGGCAUCGUCGUCGUCGCGCGCAUAUCCGCCCGUCUUGACGCAACUCCGUCGACGAAGCGUUGCCGGAUCGUGAACAGCAUUCGAUCGAUAAAGACAUGGAGUGUAGCCCUCCUUUAGCUUGUUAUCAAAACGGAAAAAGGGGGGAAGCCGGGCGAUGUCGGCCCACCAUCGAGGGCAACCAACGAUCCUGUAUGGGAGGUUGCCCGCAGAACAGACGACAGCUGUGCCAACUGGCGACCUGAAAGUUGUGUGGUGGUACGGUUCGUCGCUGCUGUUUCGACAAACUGCAUCUCUACAGUCCUGUUGACGCAAAAGCAAAACAAACGACAAACGCUGAAAUAGAUUCGGGUACAAAAAUGUUGUCCGACUACGAGCCAGACUUCUUUUUCGAAGAAGACAAGAUUCCCGAAACGACUUACAGCGGAACUGGUACAGCCAACUGGGAAGACGACAUAUCGAUAGCCAGUCCUGCAUCAGAUGGAAUUAUUGGUAGCAAUAAUCCAAGCAAUGAUAAUGACGAUAACGACAACCUUCCAGAUGUCGUGAAUUCAGACGAGCUUGAAUCGUCCUCUUGCAUGUUACUGGAGGUCGAAGACAUCGAAGACGAAAUGCGUGGAUUUUUCUGGCCGGAGAACCAUCAGGGAAUGACGAUCACGACAGGUUCAGUGGUCCUUGAAAAAGAUGGCUCCAAUUUGAUUGGAAUCAGCAUUGGAGGAGGUGCACCCUAUUGCCCAUGCCUCUACAUCGUGCAGAUUUUUGACAAUACACCAGCUGCUAAAGAAGGAACUCUUCAAAGCGGAGAUGAAAUAACAGGAGUGGAUAACAUUUCAGUCAAAGGCAAAACAAAAUCCGAAGUGGCAAAGAUGAUCCAAGCAGCCCAGAGCUCAGUCACGAUUCGCUACAACAAGCUUCACGCGGAACCUGCUCAAGGCAAAACUUUGGAUUUGAUAUUGAAGAAAGUCAAGCACCGCCUCGUCGAGAACAUGUCCAGCUCGACGGCCGACGCUCUGGGACUUUCAAGGGCCAUCCUGUGCAACGACAGUUUGCUGAAACGCCUAGAAGACUUGAAGCGUUGUGAGGGCAUGUACAGAGGGCUGGUCGAGCACACUAGACGUCUUCUUCGUUCUUAUUACGAUCUGUCCCAAACCUAUAAAGAUUUUGGUAACAUCUUUUCGACAAUCGGCGUCCGUGAGUUACAGCCGCGAGCCAGCGAAGUUUUCACAAAGUUUGGAGAGAUCCAUCGGCAGAUGGAACGUUACGGUGUCCAGAUGAUUAAACAACUCAAACCGGUACUGGCCGACUUGGGUACUUUUCUUCACAAGGCUAUUCCCGACACCCGAAUGACCAUCGGUCGCUAUGCCGACGCCAAGUUUGAAUACCUCUCAUAUUGCUUAAAGGUGAAGGAAAUGGACGAUGAGGAGCAGAGCUACCAUUCACUGCAAGAGCCUUCCUACCGCAUCGAGACAGGAAAUUACGAAUACCGAUUGGUUCUUCGUUGUCGGCAAGAUGCCAGGGUUCGAUUCGCAGCUCUACGGUCUGAUGUUCAGGUCAAAAUCGAGUUACUUGAUAACAAGCACGUUCAAGAUGUCGUCCAGCAACUUCAGAGGCUUCUGAGUCACCUGACUACCUUUUAUGAUCAGUGUCAUCAACUGCUGGACGGACAGCGUUUCUUCCCAAUCGAAGUGGAUUUAUCUAAGGGUGCAUUCACUUAUGAAUCUGUCAGCGGUUUACUUCAGUCUCAGGAUGAAGAGGAGCCCGAGGAAUACAAUGUGGCCGAGGAAGCUAAGGAAACAUCUAAUAUGGUUAAUAACAGCGGGGAAAGUCAACCUCUUAUAUCAAUGGACUGAAAUGGCGAAUAAGCUGUAAUUGGAAAGAAUCGCACUGGCGCAAGAAUGAAUUGCUGUUCUCUGUCUACGGUUUUUAUCGUCUAAGACCAACGAGAGUCUCGCGAUUUACGGAAGCCCAUUCGAGAAAGUUCUAAAUAUAUAUUUAAAAGAAGGAA